rnacentral:tRNA from 1 species
GCGGGAGUGGCUCAGUGGUAGAGCAUCAGCCUUCCAAGCUGAUCGUCGCGGGUUCGAUUCCCGUCUCCCGCU